UACGUAGGGAGCAAGCGUUGUUCGGAAUUACUGGGCGUAAAGGGCGCGUAGGCGGCCUGUCAAGUCAAUUGUGAAAUCUCCGGGCUUAACUCGGAACGGUCAAUUGAUACUGUCAGGCUAGAGUGCAGAAGGGGCAAUCGGAAUUCUUGGUGUAGCGGUGAAAUGCGUAGAUAUCAAGAGGAACACCUGAGGUGAAGACGGGUUGCUGGGCUGACACUGACGCUGAGGCGCGAAAGCCAGGGGAGCAAACGGG
rnacentral:rRNA from 1 species